UGAGGAAUAUUGGUCAAUGGGCGAGAGCCUGAACCAGCCAAGUCGCGUGAAGGAAGAAGGUUCUAUGGAUUGUAAACUUCUUUUGCAGGGGAAUAAAGGACGGUACGUGUACUGUUUUGUAUGUACCUUGCGAAUAAGGAUCGGCUAACUCCGUGCCAGCAGCCGCGGUAAUACGGAGGAUCCGAGCGUUAUCCGGAUUUAUUGGGUUUAAAGGGUGCGUAGGUGGAUUGUUAAGUCAGUGGUGAAAGUUUUCAGCUCAACUGAAAAAUUGCCGUUGAAACUGUCGAUCUUGAGUGCAAAUGAGGUAGGCGGAAUGUGUUGUGUAGCGGUGAAAUGCUUAGAUAUAACACAGAACUCCGAUUGCGAAGGCAGCUUACUGGGAUGCAACUGACACUGAUGCACGAAAGCGUGGGUAUCAAACA
rnacentral:rRNA from 2 species